AGUCUCGCCCGCCCAAACUGUUCUUAGGGAGUCAAAAGUUUUUUCUCUUCCCAACGGAUGACACGGAGAAAGAAUCAUUGUUGCCGCCUUAUAAUCAGUUUGACCGGCGAAUCUGUCUACCUACGAAGGGACGACACGUGCGUGGUGCUCCCCUUCUGUCGGGAGGGGGUUGGUCAUGGUUUGCACAGCCCAGCCUCUCUCUCUCGAUGAAACACAAACCCCGGCGCUUUGUGUGCCAAGGAAAUUGAAACUGUAAAGGGCGAUUCUUGGGGACCCGGAGACGGUGUCCUGCGGGUGUUGUCACGACACAUGAUGCAAAAUGACUCUCGGCAACGGAUAUCUCGGCUCUUGCAUCGAUGAAGAACGUAGCGAAAUGCGAUACUUGGUGUGAAUUGCAGAAUCCCGUGAACCAUCGAGUCUUUGAACGCAAGUUGCGCCCGAAGCCAUUAGGUUGAGGGCACGCCUGCCUGGGUGUCACACAUCGUUACCCUCCCUUAUAUACAUAUACAUGCAAAUGUCUCAUGAAGGACAACUGCUGUGUUGUGCUGGGAAGGUGUAUGCUGGCCUCCCGUGAUCGUUGUGUCACGGUUGGUUGAAAAAUUGAGUUCGUGGCAGAGUGUGUGCCGUGAUAAUAUGGUGGAUGAGUGCUGCUCGAGACCAAUUGCGUGCGUGCAUCUGCCAGUUUUGUACUCCAUGACCCAUUUUGUAUACUUCCCGGAGACGUUCAUAGCGAGACCUCAGGUCAGGCGGGGCUACCCGCUGAGUUUAAGCAUAUCAU
rnacentral:rRNA from 1 species